AAGUUUUCUCAAGGGUCGAGGUUUGUGGGGACUAAUUGAUGGAUCUGUUACUAUCCCCGCUUCCACCGAUGCCGACAAAAUAGCUGAUUGGGAAAUGAAAAAUGGACGGAUUAUUACCUGGAUUCUUGAUUCGGUUGAUCUAUCAAUAGCUGUUGGCCUCACGUCACAUCGCACUGCUAAGGCUAUGUGAGAUCAUCUCCAGACAAUAUAUCAAUAGAGUAAUGCAGCUCGGUUAUACCGUCUGGAAUAAGAUCUGGUUCACCUUAUUCAGGGUGACAAAAGUAUUCAAACUUUAUACUCUAUAAUGGUUACAAUUUAGACAGAGAUGGCUAUGAUGGAUCUAGAAUUCCCAAAUGACUUUAAAAUAUUCCACACAAUGCGCAAGAGUGCGCAAGUUAGACAGUUUCUUAUGAAACUGCGUCCGGAAUUUGAGCAUUGCAGGGCUGCUCUUCUGAACCGUAGCCCAACUCCUUCAAUGAAUUCGGUUAUUAAUGAUUUAUUAGCCGAGGAACAACGACUGUAGGUCCUCUCUCAGGGGACAUCUUAGGGACCAUCUGACUUGGCACUUACUGUAUCCACAUCUGCACCAAACCGUGGUUCCACUACUUUAACUUGUCGUGGCUGUAACAAAGUAGGACAUGUUGUCACUCAGUGCAAAGAUUGGUGCGCGUAUUGUUGAAGGACUGGUCAUGGUAUUCAGGAUUAUCGUUUACGUGCCUACGCAUCCUCAUUCGGCCGUGGACGUGGUGGUCGAGGUCAUGGCCGUGGUCGUGCUCUUUCUGCUACUUCUGCGACUACUUCUUCCGAGCCUUCUGUUAGUGAUACUGCAUCCACUGGUUCUGUUGAAGGUCUUUCCUCACCUUUGACUCCUGCGAUGCUCCAGCAGAUCAUGUAGGCCCUUUCUGCGGCUGGUAUGUCAGAUGGCACUAAACUACCCAUACAGUCCGUUGGUUCCUUAACUUUCUCUCCUUCUGACCAUCGCCAGUUUACCCUUCGUGAUGUGUUUCAUGUCCCUAAACUCUCCUCAAAUUUAAUUUCUGUUGGUCAACUUACAUCCAAUAACUGUUUGGUCAUCUUUCUUCCAAAUUGUUGUUUUGUGCAGGAUCUGGCAACGGGGAAGGUACUUGGGAAGGGUAGGUGGCAUGGAGGUUUGUACGUGCUGGACUUUCACCCAUCCGUUACUUCAGCUCGUUGUUUCUUCUCUCCUUCUUCCUCGGAUAUUUGUUCGGCAAAUAAAAUGUGGAAACUCUGGCACUUUCGCCUGGGUCAUCCACAUUCUGAUCGUUUGAUUCAGCUCUUUUCUUCUGGCAUGUUAGGGAAUAUUUAUCUUAAUAAAAGUGAUUUGGAUUAUUCUUGUU